AACGAACGCUGGCGGCAGGCUUAACACAUGCAAGUCGAGCGCCCCGCAAGGGGAGCGGCAGACGGGUGAGUAACGCGUGGGAACGUGCCCUUUGGUUCGAAACAACUCCGGGAAACUGGAGCUAAUACCGGAUAAGCCCUUCGGGGGAAAGAUUUAUCGCCAAAGGAUCGGCCCGCGUCUGAUUAGCUAGUUGGUGAGGUAAUGGCUCACCAAGGCGACGAUCAGUAGCUGGUCUGAGAGGAUGAUCAGCCACACUGGGACUGAGACACGGCCCAGACUCCUACGGGAGGCAGCAGUGGGGAAUAUUGGACAAUGGGCGGAAGCCUGAUCCAGCCAUGCCGCGUGAGUGAUGAAGGCCUUAGGGUUGUAAAGCUCUUUUGUCCGGGAAGAUAAUGACUGUACCGGAAGAAUAAGCCCCGGCUAACUUCGUGCCAGCCGCCGCGGUAACAC
rnacentral:rRNA from 1 species